rnacentral:rRNA from 1 species
GACGAACGCUGGCGGCGUGCCUAAUACAUGCAAGUAGAACGCACAGUUUAUACCGUAGCUUGCUACACCAUAAACUGUGAGUUGCGAACGGGUGAGUAACGCGUAGGUAACCUGCCUGGUAGCGGGGGAUAACUAUUGGAAACGAUAGCUAAUACCGCAUGAUCUUGAUUAUUGCAUGAUAAUUGAUUGAAAUAUGCUAUUGCAUCACUACCAGAUGGACCUGCGGUGUAUUAGCUAGUAGGUGAGGUAACGGCUCACCUAGGCGACGAUACAUCGCCGACCUGGGAGGGUGAUCGGCCACACUGGGAAUGGGACACGGCCCAGACUCCUACGGGAGGCAGCAGGAGGGAAACUUCGGCAAUGGACGGAAGGCUGACCGGGGCACGCCGGGGGAGGGAAGAAGGGUUUCGGAUCGUAAAGCUCUGUUGUAAGAGGAGAAAGGGAGUGGGAGUGGAAAGUUCACACUGUGACGGUAGCUUAUCAGAAAGGGACGGCUAACUACGUG